rnacentral:rRNA from 1 species
CCUACGGGUGACAGCAGUGAGGAAUAUUGCACAAUGGGGGGAACCCUGAUGCAGCGACGCCGCGUGGGUGAAGAAGCGCCUCGGCGCGUAAAGCCCUGUCAGCAGGGAAGAAAAUGACGGUACCUGACGAAGAAGCCCCGGCUAACUACGAGCCAGCAGCCGCGGUAAUACGUAGGGGGCAAGCGUUAUCCGGAUUUACUGGGUGUAAAGGGGGCGCAGACGGCGAUGCAAGCCAGGAGUGAAAGCCCGGGGCCCAACCCCGGGACGGCUCUUGGAACUGCGUGGCUGGAGUGCAGGAGGGGCAGGCGGAAUGCCUGGUGUAGCGGUGAAAUGCGUAGAUAUCAGGAGGAACACCGGUGGCGAAGGCGGCCUGCUGGACUGCAACUGACGUUGAGGCCCGAAAGCGUGGGGAGCAAACAGGAUUAGAUACCCUGGUAGUC